AAUAAAUGAAAAAGACUAAUAAAUUUUGUGAACGUGGUUUAGCUAAGGAAUUUUUGAGACGUUCCUUACCAGCCAGGUGGCACGAGCUCUCCGUCUCAUCGCGUUUCAAUCCAUCUUCUUUGGCUCGAGCUCUCUCUUCUCCGACCCGACCACGAGCUCUCUCGUCUCCUCCGAUUUGGGUUUCAUCGAAAGCGUUUCAAUCCAUCUCCACUUUCUCGUCUUCAUCGAUCUCAGCCUCUCAAAGAGUCUCUCCAUCGAUCGAUCUCUCAGACUCUCUCAUCUCCUCCUAUUUGGGUUUCAAACACUCUCAUCUCUCUCAGAGUCUCUCUCGACGACCCACUAUCUCAGACCCUCUCGACGACCCACUCUCAUCUCUCUCAGAGUCUCUUCACUGCGAAGACGUUUUACAAACUGAUAAGAAGCUGGGCAUCUAAGAAGUUCAUGACUGGAUGUGUUAUCCUGCUUCCAGUGGCCAUCACUUUCUAUGUGACAUGGUGGUUUAUUCAUUUCGUUGAUGGGUUCUUCUCCCCAUAUGAUAGUUUAUCUGUAUCAUGUAUUCCUGUACAAACUUUUCUAGGGCCAAUGUAGUGGUGGUGCCUGUAUUUCUAUUAGCUCGGCCUCUCCCUCUAAUUUAUAGCACAUCAAUUACACAUGCGAAGGCGUUUGUGUUCUCGUGCAAUCACUGUUGUUUUUUAAUUGCUUUAAGUAAAUGAUUGUGAUGGUGGUUUCUGCGAUGGUGACAGACUGAAUGCAGAUGUUGGUUUCAUAUUUUCCUCUCUUUACGUAAUGAUCAGACUAAAUGGCUGAAAUAUAUUAUUGUUGAUGAAACCUUUUUUUUCAAAACUGUAGCUUGAUAUUGAUGAAUGAUGAAACCUUUUGAUCGUUA